UCCGGCAGUUCAGUUUCCGCGCCCUCAACAGCCGCCAAUAGCAACGACAUCCGCGCCUUAAAGGGGCGGGACCGCCCCGCAGGGCAUGAUGGGGGGGUUUUCCCAGCCGACCGGAAACCAGCCGCUGGGAAAGGUCCUAGACGCUCCGCCCUCUCUCCAUCUCUUCCUGUAGCCUGCAAUUGGAGUGACGGUUGUCCCUUUUUCUUCCCGCCCACCCGCGGCCUCCCUUCUGUCUCCAACGGUCUCACACUCCUUCCUCCUUCCCCUCCUCCGACAAGCUCGGAGGCGGGACGAGGUGAGAAGGAGCUGCGCAGCCUCACAGAAGCAGAGGAGCUAUCGAUGGUUACCAGUGGCUGACGGGCCCAGAGGAAAAGAAACAAUCAAAAGAAGGCCUUCUCUAUCUACAGAGGCAAAGGACUUCUUAGCACAAGCUGACAAGAGAAUGGACCUUGGCCAAGCAAACAGGGGUUUCCCUUCCUUCUCAAAAGCUUAUGAUGAGGCUUUGAGGAAGUGAAUGAAGAAUCAUCAAACAUAGAAAAUUAAAAAGUUAUAAUCAUAGGACAAAGAAUGCUAGAGCCGGAAGCGUACCUUAAAGAUCAUUGAGUCUAACUUCCUUAUUCUUUAUCUUUUAAUUUUAUUGAUGUUUUUUGUUUUGAUACAAUAAUCAUUUCCAAAUACACUCAGUGGAUAGAGCACUGGCCCCUGGAGUCAGCAGGACCUGAGUUCAAAUCCGGCCUCAGACACAUAACCCUCACUAGCUGUGUGUCUCUGGGCAAGUCACUUAACCCCAAUUGCCUCACCAAAAAUAAGUUUUUUUUAAAGUAAAAAAAUUGCCUUUACCAUUCAAAAAAAAAAAAAGGAAAAGGGACCUAUUUGUACAAAAAUAUUUAUAGCAGCUCUUUUUGUGGUGGCUAAGAAUUGGAUAUCACAGGGAUGCCCAUGAAUUGGCAAAUGACUGAACAAGCUGUGGUAUAUGAUUGUGAUGGAAUAUUAUUGUGCUAUAAGAAAUGACAAGUGGGAUGAUUUCAGAAAAACCUGGAAAGACUUACAUGAACUGAUGCAUAGUGAAGUGAACAGAACCAGGAGAACAUUGUACACAGUAACAGCAAUAUUGUGUGAUGAAGAACUGGGAAUGAGGUAGCUAUUCUCAGCAAUAUAAUGAUCCAAGAUAAUCCCAAAGGACUAAUGAUGAAGCAUACUGUCUGCCUCCAGAGAAAGAACUGAUAUUGAUUGAAUACAGACUGAAGCAUGCUGUUUUUCACUUUCUUUUUUCUUUUUUUCCAGUCUUCUUGUACAAAAUGACUAACAUGGAAUUGUUUUACAUAAUUGGACAUGUGUAACCUACAUCUGAUUGCUU
rnacentral:lncRNA from 1 species